UACGUAGGGUGCAAGCGUUGUCCGGAAUCAUUGGGCGUAAAGCGCACGUAGGCGGAUUUGUAAGUCAGGGGUGAAAUCCCGGGGCUCAACCUCGGAACUGCCUUUGAUACUGCAAGUCUUGAGUCCGGAAGAGGUGAGUGGAAUUCCUAGUGUAGAGGUGAAAUUCGUAGAUAUUAGGAAGAACACCAGUGGCGAAGGCGGCUCACUGGUCCGGUACUGACGCUGAGGUGCGAAGGCGUGGGGAGCAAACAGG
rnacentral:rRNA from 1 species